rnacentral:misc_RNA from 1 species
GCUUAAUUUCUUUUUAACGCCAUAGAAGUGGAAUAACCAAUCAGCACAUCUAAAUGCUAUGAGCUGAACUUUGAUGUUUUUUUCCUUGUUACUGAAUGAAAGCGUACAACAAUCUAUCUAACUCUACAACUAUUACAAAUCUCUUCAUUUAAGGCGUCUCCCUCCAACCUUGAGCAUUUCCAGAUAACUGGGACCUCAAUCUUCACCAAAGUCGCAGUUCAUGCCAUCAAAGCUCAGCAAUAUAGCUUUCACUCCGCACCACAUCAUCAGCCCUCAGCAAUACAGAGUACAGACCACAACCAGGAAACAAGGAAAAGAAUUUUGUUAUGGAAAAUACAAUUCCACACCAGGGUAGAAUGCUCAGGCUAAGAAAUAAAAACAUGAGGUAUGCCUUCCUAUUACAGUAAAAUACAUGCAACAUACGACUUCCACAGGAUUGUCAUAGCAACUAAACUGAAGGCGGCUACAGAAAUAUACACUUCAAUUAAAAAGAGUCCCAAUCUUUUCACACAUUCAAAUCCAAAUUGGUAAAAGUGAGUUCCAUAUCCUUGAUUUAUUAUCUACUUCACGUGCUCCUUUUGACGGCUACUUAAAUCUUAAUACAAUUCCAGUAACAAUUAUUGAUCACCAAUAAAGAUGAAACUAAGAACUUGUUUAAAUAGUCUGUUGAAGUCACAACAAACUAAUUUUAUG